rnacentral:rRNA from 1 species
GGGGGAAACCCUGACGCAGCAACGCCGCGUGGAUGAAGAAGGCCUUCGGGUCGUAAAAUCCUGUCUUUGGGGAAGAAAAAAAUGACGGUACCCAAGGAGGAAGCCCCGGCUAACUACGUGCCAGCAGCCGCGGUAAUACGUAGGGGGCGAGCGUUGUCCGGAAUUACUGGGCGUAAAGGGUGCGUAGGCGGCCGAUUAAGUCGGAUGUGAAAUACCACGGCUCAACUGUGGGGGUGCAUUUGAAACUGGUUGGCUUGAGUGCAGGAGAGGGAAGUGGAAUUCCUAGUGUAGCGGUGAAAUGCGUAGAGAUUAGGAGGAACACCAGUGGCGAAGGCGACUUUCUGGACUGUAACUGACGCUGAGGCACGAAAGCGUGGGGAGCGAACAGGAUUAGAUACCCUGGUAGUCCACGCCGUAAACGAUGGAUACUAGGUGUAGGGGGUAUCGACCCCCCCUGUGCCGGAGUUAACGCAAUCAGUAUCCCGCCUGGGGAGUACGGCCGCAAGGUUG